UGAAGACAAUGACGGGAAUGGGAAUGCCAUUGGUGAGUGGGGAUAUCUGUGCAAUUUAAACAGUUUUGGAAGUGGAGAGCAUCGCCACAAGGGUAGGACAAGUGAGGAGCAGAAGAACAAGGAUAGGACAAGUGAGGAGCAUCGACGGCUGCAGAUUCUCGAACCGAAAUCAAGGGUUGAUAUCGGUUCUUUUCCCUAGGUCUCCACGUAGGGUUGAUAUCAAUUCAAUUUCAGUUUCCAGCAAAGGUUAAAAAUAUCUCUGCUUAGGGUUUUAGCACUUUACAAAGGUUCCAACGAUGGCUUUCUUUGGUUGAAUUGGGAAUUUACUCAGAAAUGCUGCAAACAAGCAGAUCAGUUCAGAAUUGCUCCCAUCCCCAUCUAUUCUCCAGGAAAUACGGUGCAUGUCAUCUGCUCCAAACUCAAAACUGUUCAUUGGAGGUAUUUCAUAUUCUACUGAUGAGUAAGGUUUGAGGGAGGCAUUUCAAGAUAUGGAGAAGUUGUUGAUGGUACAUACAAUUACUCAUUUUUUCCUAUGCAGACUCGAUCCAUGGCAGGGA